rnacentral:rRNA from 1 species
ACUCCUACGGGAGGCAGCAGUGGGGAAUAUUGCACAAUGGAGGAAACUCUGAUGCAGCAACGCCGCGUGGAGGACGAAGGUUUUCGGAUUGUAAACUCCUGUCUUUUGGGACGAUAAUGACGGUACCAAAAGAGGAAGCCACGGCUAACUACGUGCCAGCAGCCGCGGUAAUACGUAGGUGGCGAGCGUUGUCCGGAAUUACUGGGCGUAAAGGGCGCGUAGGCGGCCUGUUAAGUCAGAUGUGAAACCCCCAGGCUCAACUUGGGGAUUGCAUAUGAAACUGAUGGGCUCGAGUGUCGGAGAGGAAAGCGGAAUUCCUAGUGUAGCGGUGAAAUGCGUAGAUAUUAGGAGGAACACCAGUGGCGAAGGCGGCUUUCUGGACGAUAACUGACGCUGAGGCGCGAAAGCGUGGGGAGCAAACAGGAUUAGAUACCCUGGUAGUC